rfam:Candidate division WS6 bacterium GW2011_GWA2_37_6 TS52_C0028, whole genome shotgun sequence.
UCCGGGUUAGCUCAAUGGUAGAGCAAUCGACUGUUAAUCGAUUGGUUGCAGGUUCGAGCCCUGCACCCGGAG